GCUAUAAAUGCUGGCGCGCUAGAGUGCGCUCGCUCUUAUUAUUGCGAUGUUGCGGUGGAAGUGCGCUAAAGCGUACAAAACUGAGAAAGUCAGGCGGUCACAAGGGGGGGCUGAAUGUGGUCUGAAUCUACUCCAGCUGCUGUAGCUCCGCUGCUUCAGUUUCUUACUACGAUUGUUGUUGCAGGUCACACAAGACCCCAAAAUGCCUUGAUCCCAAUGGCCAGUUUUGCUGAAAGGAGGAGGUAAAUGAGGGGGAAAUUUGAAAGGUCCAUCGAGAUCAUCCUAUUGUGGGAAAGAUGUGCGAAGAUCUUCAGAAAUCAAGUUCUGUUCCUGCCCUUUUUUAAUGUUAAAAGUGCUCGGUGCUCACUGUUAAGUUUACAUUUUUAAAAAUGUAUUGUACGUUGUUACAAAUAUAUAAAAUCUACAAUUAUAAACUUAGCCCACUUCCUUUAGUGGAAAUUCCUAUAACAGGGUUGUUUUGUGUUCCUGGAGAGCCACUUUCCUAAAAUGCAAAAGUUUUCAUGUAGGAUUGCUGCUUUGUCGUCAUGGGAAUGGCAUGUAGAUUGACAUGAAAAUAUCAGGGAUUUUAGCAUAAGGCUGCAACAAAAUGUGAAAAAUGAAGAGGCUCUGAAUGCACUGUUCAGGAGGUGUCCGUUCCUGUUUCUGCAGUGCCACCUUCAGCAGUUUAGCUCUAGCCCCAGAUAAACGUGCCUGAAGCCAGGUGUUCUGCAUCACUGGUCUUUCAAGCGUGCUGGUGCUAAACUGCAGGAAAGUGGUCCUCCAGGAUCAGGAUUGGACAUCCUGCUCUAGCAUUAUUUGAGCAUGAGGCUGCUAUACGAAGACGAUGAAUGAAGGAGAUUUCUGUAAUGGUGCAAUGUUUGAUUGGUCUCAUUUGGUUCUGGUAUUGUUUUCAAACACUGGACAA